rnacentral:rRNA from 1 species
AACCUGGCGCUGGAUCACCUCCUUAU